rnacentral:rRNA from 1 species
GGGGAAUAUUGCGCAAUGGGCGAAAGCCUGACGCAGCGACGCCGCGUGGGGGAUGAAGGCCUUCGGGUUGUAAACCCCUUUCAGCUCUGACGAAGCCUUUGGGUGACGGUAGGGGCAGAAGAAGCGCCGGCCAACUACGUGCCAGCAGCCGCGGUAAGACGUAGGGCGCAAGCGUUGUCCGGAUUUAUUGGGCGUAAAGAGCUCGUAGGCGGCCUGUCGCGUCAAUCGUGAAAUCCUGCGGCUUAACUGUGGGGUUGCGGUUGAUACGGGCGGGCUGGAGUGCGGUAGGGGAGACUGGAAUUCCUGGUGUAGCGGUGAAAUGCGCAGAUAUCAGGAGGAACACCGGUGGCGAAGGCGGGUCUCUGGGCCGUGACUGACGCUGAGGAGCGAAAGCGUGGGGAGCGAAC